GCAACGCUGGCGGUGCGCUUAUGCUGCAGUCGAGCGAAGCUUUUCAGUAGUUUACUACAGAAAAUGACUGAGCGGCGAACGGGUGAGUAACGCGUGAGCAAUCUACCUUAGUUACACGGGGAUAGCCCGAGGAAACUCGGAUUAAUACCUGAUAUUCUUUAUUUCUCGCAUGAGAAUAAAAGGAAAGGUCAGCCGAACUAAGAUGAGCUCGCGUUCUAUCAGCUAGUUGGUGAGGUAAAAGCUUACCAAGGCUACGACGGAUAGCUGGUCUGAGAGGACGAUCAGCCACACUGGGACUGAGACACGGCCCAGACUCCUACGGGAGGCUGCAGCAGGGAAUAUUGUGCAAUGAACGAAAGUUUGACACAGCGACACCGCGUGUGGGAUGACGGAUCUACCGUUUGUAAACCACUUUCAGGAGGGAAGAAAAUGACGGUACCUCCACAAGAAGCCCCGGCCAACUACGUGCCAGCAGCCGCCGGUAAUACGUAGCGGGGCGAGCGUUGUCCGGCAUUUACUUGGGCGUAAAGAGCUCGUAGGCGGUUCAACAAGUCGGUCGCUGAAAGUUCAGGGCUCAACCCUGAACAAUGUCCAUCAGAU
rnacentral:rRNA from 1 species